CCAAAGAUAAACAUACAAACAACAUUGGAGGGGGCCUUUUAAAGUGUUCUCCUUACCAGAUUUAUAAACAUACGUCACUUAUAUUUUCAUUUUAAUAUAUCGUCUUCCUCAAAAAUAAAUUCUAAGAUGAGGUCAUUUGGGACGUGGAUUGGGCUGUGGCUUCCCGCUUUAUUUAUAGUCAAUAGGAGGGACAGCUAGGCUAAUUAAAGGUCCAUUGAAGAUCAGUCUUCUUGGUGAUCCGUCCCUAACUGGGUUCCUCAAAGUGUUGUUUAGCAUGAUUAAGUUUCAUAUAGUCAUACUCAGUAAGGUUUGGGGAAGAGGAAUAUUCACAUUUAGUUUUAAAAAAAAAAUCUAUUCUGAGCCCCAUCUAAAAGUCUAAGCAGAGUCCCAGUUUUGUUGAUAAUUCCAGUGUAUCAGUAUGUUGACAGCAAUCCACCUGACUUCAUUCAGCAACCCUAAACAUUUUAUGUGCCCCCAGCCAUGGAGGAAUGCCUUGUUCACAGAAAGGAAAAA
rnacentral:lncRNA from 1 species